AUUGAACGCUGGCGGCAGGCCUAACACAUGCAAGUCGAACGAGUGGCGGACGGGUGAGUAAUGUCUGGGAAACUGCCUGAUGGAGGGGGAUAACUACUGGAAACGGUAGCUAAUACCGCAUACCAUCAGAUGUGCCCAGAUGGGAUUAGCUAGUUGGUGGUGUAACGGCUCACCAAGGCGACGAUCCCUAGCUGGUCUGAGAGGAUGACCAUCAAAACGGGAACUGUGACACGUGCCAGACGCCUACGGGAGGCAGCAGUGGGGAAUAUUGCACAAUGGGCGCAAGCCUGAUGCAGCCAUGCCGCGUGUAUGAGGAAGGCCUUCAGGUUGUAAAGUACUUUCAGCGGGGAGGCGUUACCCGCAGAAGAAGCACCGGCUAACUCCGUGCCAGCCGCCGCGGUAAUUC
rnacentral:rRNA from 1 species